GUCGAGCGAUGAAGUUUCCUUCGGGAAACGGAUUAGCGGCGGACGGGUGAGUAACACGUGGGUAACCUGCCUCAUAGAGUGGAAUAGCCUUCCGAAAGGAAGAUUAAUACCGCAUAACGUUGAAAGAUGGCAUCAUCAUUCAACCAAAGGAGCAAUCCGCUAUGAGAUGGACCCGCGGCGCAUUAGCUAGUUGGUGGGGUAACGGCCUACCAAGGCGACGAUGCGUAGCCGACCUGAGAGGGUGAUCGGCCACAUUGGGACUGAGACACGGCCCAGACUCCUACGGGAGGCAGCAGUGGGGAAUAUUGCACAAUGGGGGAAACCCUGAUGCAGCAACGCCGCGUGAGUGAUGAAGGUUUUCGGAUCGUAAAGCUCUGUCUUUGGGGAAG
rnacentral:rRNA from 1 species